AGUGAACGCUGGCGGUAGGCCUAACACAUGCAAGUCGAACGGCAGCACAGUAAGAGCUUGCUCUUACGGGUGGCGGGUGGCGGACGGGUGAGGAAUACAUCGGAAUCUACUUUUUCGUGGGGGAUAACGUAGGGAAACUUACGCUAAUACCGCAUACGACCUACGGGUGAAAGCAGGGGAUCUUCGGACCUUGCGCGAUUGAAUGAGCCGAUGUCGGAUUAGCUAGUUGGCGGGGUAAAGGCCCACCAAGGCGACGAUCCGUAGCUGGUCUGAGAGGAUGAUCAGCCACACUGGAACUGAGACACGGUCCAGACUCCUACGGGAGGCAGCAGUGGGGAAUAUUGGACAAUGGGCGAAAGCCUGAUCCAGCCAUACCGCGUGGGUGAAGAAGGCCUUCGGGUUGUAAAGUCCUUUUGUUGGGAAAGAAAAGCAGCAGGUUAAUAACCCGCUGUUAUGACGGUACCCAAAGAAUAAGCACCGGCUAACUUCGUG
rnacentral:rRNA from 1 species